UCCGGUGUUUGUUUGAAGUGAGUUUAUCUCU
rnacentral:piRNA from 1 species